GAGAACUUUGGAAAUGCUAAUUAGAAUAACAAUUAUUACAUUUCUCACUUUUUUGGAUAUUAAGCAUGUCAAAGCUUAUUAUUUUAUACUUUACCAUGCAUUUUCGAAAAAUAUAAAUUACAAUGUUUUUUUAGCUACCUUGUGUUAUACCUUGGACUUGGUGAUAUUUUUAAAAGUUUCUGUUGCAGGAUAACACACGUGUUUAGAAAAAAAAAAAGUUUUUGCUAGUUUCUUGUGAUUUUUCAUAAUGAAAACUGGUAGAACUUUCAGCUUCCGUGUUACUAUUAAAGUUAACUGGGAAAACUUUGUCGUCUGUAAGAAGGAGUCAAGGAAGGAGUGAAAAAGACUAUAAAUUUCAGCUAUUUGAAAACCUAAGAUUUCACCUGAUGUGGACCGAUACCAGUCAGCGAUUCCAAAGGAAGGUUCCUCACAAGCGGAAAAAUGUGAAAUUAUGGAGACCUGUUGGUUGUAGCCACUGGGAACGGCACCACAAUCGAACAAUCUAACAAGGUCAUCAUCGUCGCGUGUGGAACUUCAUAUUAGAACGCCGCGUUACAGGGAAUGUGUAAAGUUGGAUGUUCAGCAGAAUAUUUAUAGAAAUAAAUGUCUUUUCAUCUAUUUGUUUCAUUAACUUAA